rnacentral:rRNA from 1 species
AUGGAGUUGUCAUCUUCUAUAUCUGCUUUGAAUCCCGCCAACUCAUUUGCUGCUUUUGAUGCACAAAUGGUAUGCAAGCGGAGGUGUUCCGGGAUGAUGAGGAGUUCCAACAAAUGGAAGAAGCGGCGGCACUCCCCGACAACCUCCUUCGUGGAAUCCUCGAGCGCCUUGAUCCGCGCAAGGCGGCGACCCUUCCCUCACUGGCUCUUCCUCCUGCACCUUGACGUCAGCCACUUCCCUGGCGGUACACGGGUCGAGAUCAUGGGCACAUUCACGGCCACAACACAUCCAGGUAUCCUCCUCCGGACGGGUGCAAAUGUGACUGCAAGAUUGCUAUCGAGGCCUCCCCAGCUUCUGCAUGCCGGUCCUGAAGGGAGCAUAUAUACUCAUUGCUUCUCAUUCCAUAUUUGUUCAUUACGUUUAUUUGCUAAAUUGAUGCUCAUGAAGUCAUGA